CUGCAGCCAUGUAAGAUGUGCCUUUCACCUUCCACCAGGAUUGUGAGGCCUUCCCAACCACGUGGAACUGUCCACAGAAAUACUCCUGCUAAAUCUCUACUCUGGCCUUGGAAAACAAUCAAAUUCUUUACAUCUCACCUCUACCUACCCCAUCUGUGCUCCUCAGCUGGCACACUUAGCAUGUUUCUACUGAUGCCCUAGAAUGACACUCGGCCUUAUCUUAAAUAAGAAAUCUAGAGAACAUCUUGAACUCUUUCUGCUCCUCCACGAUGUGACUCCAGAAGUUCUGGAUAUGUUCCAUGGCAGUUGUACAAAAUGUACCAUAACAUAAUAAAGUCAG
rnacentral:lncRNA from 10 species